rnacentral:ncRNA from 1 species
AUAAAAUCAAUGAUGAAGAAUAGUAGAAAUCGCAAUUUCAGAGAAAAGGUCCAUAGGCUGUAAGACUUUUAAUAGAUUUUGAACCAGCUUCGGAGUAAUAGGAAAAAACUAUCGGUUUAAUACCGUUAUCAUUAUUAGAGAACAAAUUUAGGUGGUACCGCGAUAAUAAGUUCGCCCUAAUA